rnacentral:rRNA from 1 species
UACGUAGGGUGCAAGCGUUGUCCGGAAUUAUUGGGCGUAAAGAGCUCGUAGGCGGUUUGUCGCGUCUGCUGUGAAAACGCGAGGCUCAACCUCGCGCCUGCAGUGGGUACGGGCAGACUAGAGUGCGGUAGGGGAGAUUGGAAUUCCUGGUGUAGCGGUGGAAUGCGCAGAUAUCAGGAAGAACACCCGUGGCGAAGGCGGCUCUCUGGAACGCAACUGACGCUGAGACGCGAAAGCGUGGGGAGCGAACAGG